ensembl:lncRNA
AUGGUCAGCCCCGGGAUCCGCGGCUUCCCCGUAGCUGGGAGGGCGCGAGCCCCAAGGAUCCUCACCUUCCUAGAGGCCGGCGCGCUCCCCUCGGCUGGCGGCCACGGAGACGGCCCGGGGCAUGUCCGUGGAGGGGACGCCCGCGGAGCCAGGCGCUUCAGCAGGCGGCACCACCCAGCCCAGGUUCAGCCCCUCUGGGCGGAACGACGAUGCCCCGGUCCCGGUUCCGCACCCGCUGCUGCUGCUACUACUGCUGCUGCUGCUGCCGUGGCGGAGCCUCGCGGCCGCCCGCCUCAUCUUCCUGCCCGGGGGCGCGGCGCGGCGCGGGCUCGCGGGGCCUACGGGCGGCGCGGGCUCCCGCGGCCACGGCGGUUGGGGGCCAUGCGCGGCGCCGGGUGCGCGCGAGGACGAGAACGAGGCGGCGGCGGCAGCGGGAGUGGGAACUGCGGGAGGUUCGGCCCUCGGCUGCCUGCGCCGAGGCUGCUGCCCGUCCAGUCCGCAGCUACUCCAACUACCACUGGCGCGAAGACCCGGCCCUCAGCCUCCAGCUCCUCCUUCCCCUCCUCCUACUCCUCCUCCUCUUCCGCUUUGCCUUGCCUGGCCUGGCCUAGCGGCCUUCGUUCCCCUACUGCUGCCACUGCUACUGCUGUCGCCGCCGCCGCCUUAGCAGCGCCGCCGCGCGCCGGAACCCAGGGCUAACCCCAGCCAGCGCAAGCUAGCCUCCUCUCGGAGCGCGUGCGCGGGCGUGCCCGAGCGCAAGCCAGCCCCGCCCCCUAUCCUCCGCCCCCGCCAGAGCGCGAGUCACCCCUGCCCCGCCCCUCUUCUCCCCCAACCCCAAUCCACCCCCGCCUCGGCCUGAGCGCGAACGGGCGCGGGAACAGUCCCUCCCUAACCCCCGACCCUGCUCUCUCUUCUUCUCCCGCCCCUCCCCUCUGCGCGAACCUCGAUGCAAGCUGUCCCCUAGCACUCCCUUCUUUUGAGCGCGGGCGCGAGCCCGAGCCGCACCCUUGUCCCAGGCGCGACUCCACCCGGGACCAUCCUUCCCCUCCCCAUCUAUGCCCUUGAAUCCUGCCUGGUUCACACUCUCCUCGUGAGCUCUAGAGAAACCUUGUCCGAGUCCUGACAGAGUGGGCAUCUGCAGGCUCCUAGACCUGCGCCACGCACCGGCUCCUUCUGAGGCGGGGGCUUGGUCCUGGGAGGAGCCCUGUGGACAUGCACGCUGUUCCUUGCUACGGAGGAGAGUAAAAAGGGCCUGGGGAAGCAACACCCCCAAGAAAAGGGUGAGAGAUGUGAUUCCCUCUUUACCCUGAGAGCCUCCAUCCAGAGCGGCACCCUUCCUUCCCUUUCUUUCCUUUCUUUCUUCCUUCCAGUCCACAGAGAAGUGCGUCCGAAAAUCCGGAAACAGGGAUGGGGAGACCCCUUUGUAAAGAUACUCAAGGAAGAUAUGGGAUUCUCCCAGACCUCCAAAAAAAACAACCGUGGAAUUAAGGAGAGCUUGAGAAGUUGACACUCCCACACACGCACACCCCCAGAACAACCUCCACUUUUUUCCUCAGGAAACCAAUGGCGUGACUCAUGUCAAACCACAAAUUCACAGGUCUGAGCUGGAAAGGACCUUAGAUCGACUAAGAAAAGCACGACCCCGGAGAAGUGAAGGGACUUCACGCCACGGGGCCAGAAUUGAGUGGGGGAUUUCACUUCCAUGUGAAAUUGGGCAAUUCCCCAGCAGCCUUUUUUUUUUUUAAGAUUCAUUAAAUUCUAAGUCUGAGAGAAACAUUUGAGAUCAUUCCCUUCCACUCUUUUUAGAGAUGGAACCAAGUAAGGAUUAGUUCGAAUUACUCCAGCUAGCUAGUGUGGAGAUCCAAGGCUAGAAAUUAGGUCUACCAUGCUCUUUCUUUUGGCAAGACUUGUAUGACAUUGAGUGAUCCUUCUAAAUUCAACAACUCAGGUGAAAUUAGUGAAUUUAAUAAAAAAAAAAUAACAUCCCUAACUUUUGGUUUG